rnacentral:rRNA from 1 species
GAAUAAGGGGAAAAUUAAAUAAAAGUGUUAAAAAAAAUAUUUAAUAAUUAAAUAAAUUAUUUGAGUAUGAAUAUAGAAAAAAUUGAAAAUUUUAUAGUUAAUUAGUAUUGUGAAAGAAUUUUGAAAUAAAUGAAAAUAAAUUUAUUUAUAAGAAAAUUUAAUUUAUUGUAUCUUGUGUAUCAGAGUUUAUUAAAUAAUUAUUUUGGGAAGAAUUUUUUCGAAUUUUAAAGGGUUAAUUAAUUAAAAAAUUUAAUGUUAUAUAAUUAUUUUUAAUAAUUAAUUAGAAAUGAAAUGUUAAUCGUUUUAAAAUAUAUCUAAUUUUUUUAGAAAUAAAUUUAAUUUAUAAUAUUUUAUUUAAUUUUUUUUAUUUUUAAAAAAUUAAUAUUAAUAUUAAAUAUUUUAAGGGAUAAGCUUUAAAAUAAAAUUUUAUAAUAAUAAUUUUUGUUAAUUAAAAUUUUAAAAUUUAAAUUGUUAAUAAAUUAUAAUUUUUUAUAAAUAAUUUAAUUAAUAAAAUAAAAUUUUAAAUAAAUUUAAAUUUUUAUAAAAAAAUAAUUUUUAAUUUUUAUAAAUUAGUUAUAAUGAUAAAAUUAGUAUAUAAUUGAUUAUUUAAAUGUAAUUUUAUUAAAGUUUAUAAUAAGGAAUUAGGCAAAAUUUAUUAUUCACCUGUUUAACAAAAACAUGUCUUUUUGAGAUAAUAUUAAGUCUAAUCUGCCCACUGAUAAAUUAUUAAAGGGCUGCAGUAUAUUGACUGUACAAAGGUAGCAUAAUCAUUUGUUUUUUAAUUGAAAACUUGUAUGAAAGAUUGAAUGAAAUAAUGACUGUCUCUUUAUAAUGAUUAGAAAUUAAUUUUUUAGUAAAAAAGCUAAAAUAAAUUUAAAAGACGAGAAGACCCUAUAGAGUUUAAUAAUUUAUUUUAUAUUAAUAAAAUGUAAAUUUUUAAAUUAAAAUUAAUUUAAUUAUUUUAUUGGGGCGAUAAAAAAAUUAAAUUAACUUUUUUUGAAAAAUUUAUAUUACAUUAAUAAAUGAAACAUUGAUCCAUUUAUAGUGAUUAUAAGAAUAAAUUACCUUAGGGAUAACAGCGUAAUUUUUUUUUUUAGUUCAAAUAAAAAAAAAAGUUUGCGACCUCGAUGUUGGAUUAAGAUAAAAUUUAAAUGCAAAAGUUUAAGGUUUUGAUCUGUUCGAUCAUUAAAAUCUUACAUGAUCUGAGUUCAAACCGGUGUGAGCCAGGUUGGUUUCUAUCUUUAAAAAAAAUAAAAUAUUUUAGUACGAAAGGAAUAAUUAUUUAAAAUAAUUUUUAUAUAAUGAAUUUUAUUAAUUUG